AACGAACGCUGGCGGCAUGCCUAACACAUGCAAGUCGAGCGCCCGUAGCAAUACGGGAGCGGCGCACGGAUGAGUAACGCGUGGGAACCUGCCCAGAGGUCUGGGACAACCGCGGGAAACUGCGGCUGAUACCGGAUGAUUCCUGAGGGACAAAGAUUUAUUGCCUUUGGAGGGGCCCGCGUCGGAUUAGGUAGUUGGUGGGGUAACGGCUCACCAAGCCUAUGAUCCGUAACUGGUCUGAGAGGAUGACCAGUCACACUGGGACUGAGACACGGCCCAGACUCCUACGGGAGGCAGCAGUGGGGAGUAUUGGACAAUGGGGGGCAACCCUGAUCCAGCAAUGCCGCGUGGGUGAUGAAGGCCUCGGUUGUAAGCCUUUCGGCGGGGACGGAUGAUGACGGUA
rnacentral:rRNA from 1 species